rnacentral:misc_RNA from 1 species
CGGGCGAUUUGCAUUACAUCAUCAGCAUUCUUAGUUACACUGUACUGUACCAUGAGUGAAUCAUCCCUCUUAUUUCCACCAGAUGUGCCAGUUUCAGACACAUCCAUAACUCUCCGGCCCAUAUCAUCAUCAUCAUCAUAACCUUCGUUGUCAGACAUUGAGACACCAGCCAACCCAACUUCAGUNNAUAAUACCAAUAUUCCCUCCACAUCUUUGAUGAUAGAUCGAGUGAAUCUGCUCUGGAAUUUGGUUAAAUUCUUCACAUUCUUCAACUUCAACAGCAGCAUCUCUAAUGUCUCUGAAUUGUUCAGCAGUAUCGGAUACAUCCAUUUCACGAGAUUUAACUUUUACCGCAUCUUCAGCAGCUUCUUGCACAGCUUUAAUUACAGUAGCCAUAGGAUUCGGAACUCUAGUAAUCGACUGAAUCCUCCUAGGAUGAUCAACUAAUGAUGAUUCUCCAGUGGAUGUAGACACCGCAGAACGAAGCCGCUUUAGUGAGGGCUCUUUUACCUGAGAAGACCUCAAAUUUCCUACAGCAUCUCGUACUGCAAAUUGAAGUAGUCG